rnacentral:tRNA from 1 species
GGACCAUUAGCUCAGCUGGAUAGAGCGCUGCCCUCCGAAGGCAGAGGUCGCAGGUUCGAAUCCCGCAUGGUUCA